AACGAACGCUGGCGGCAUGCCUAACACAUGCAAGUCGAACGAGGCCUUCGGGUCUAGUGGCGCACGGGUGUGUAACACGUGGGAACCUGCCCUUAGGUUCGGAAUAACUCCCCGAAAGGGGUGCUAAUACCGGAUAAUGUCUUCGGACCAAAGAUUUAUCGCCCUUGGAUGGGCCCGCGUUGGUUUAGCUAGUUGGUAGCGUAAAAGCCUACCAAGGCGACGAUACAUAGCUGGUCUGAGAGGAUGAUCAGCCACACUGGGACUGAGACACGGCCCAGACUCCUACGCGAGGCAGCAGUGGGGAAUAUUGGACAAUGGGCGAAAGCCUGAUCCAGCAAUGCCGCGUGAGUGAUGAAGGCCUUAGGGUUGUAAAGCUCUUUUACCCGCGAUGAUAAUGACAGUACCGGGAGAAUAAGCUCCGGCUAACUCCGUG
rnacentral:rRNA from 1 species